rnacentral:lncRNA from 1 species
GAUUGUUCCCAGAAUCUCACACAGCUCCCCAAUCUCUUGCCGACUUCCCUAGGUCCGUGGAGUCCACUAGAUGGCGCCCAGAUCUACCGCAGCGUCCUGCCUCCGCGGGGCGCAGGUCCUGGGAACAGCGGUGGAUUUUCUAAGAACGGCUGGAGAGAUCAGUAAGGUCCGUGUGCAACAGCUUCCUAAAGAUCUGCUCCAAAUGCUUAUAUUUAACCUACAGUGUUAUAAUAGCUUCACGUGGACAACUGAGUGAAAAACCCCAAAUCCUGAUGGUUCAGUUACACAAACCUCACUAUGUCGGAACCUUUGAACAUGUUGUAAUGUCAGCUCUCGUCAGCAUCAGGCAGAAGUUGGACGUUAUCCCCAUUUUACAGCACAUCUCUCCGUGGCCAAUGGCAGUACUGUGGUCUGGCAGAGCGUGAGAGUCCGAUGAUAUGGAAGUACCCAGCGGAUGUCAGAGAAGCCACAGCAGAUGCUUGGAUUCUUCAUGAGCACACGAAGCACCUGACUUCAGAGAGCACUUGUGCUCCAGAAGCAUUGAGAAAUUUUUUAAGUUGUUGAGGUCCUGCCAGGUAGAUGCAAGGACCAACAGAAUUUGCGUUCUAAUUAUUGGUGUGAUUCUGUUUAUAUUCACAAGUUCAGGAGGCCUGGGGAAACUCAGGUUGGGGUCCUAUUUCACAAGAAAAUUUUCAGCACAACUAGAAGCCACCACAGAUAUAAUCAUGCUGCUGAGCAUACAGACAUCCUAGGAUUUGGUAUCCUUAAAGAACUUUCUAAAAUGGGCAAAGGUGAUAAAAAAGUACAAACUUCCAGUUAAAAGAUAAAUAAGUUCUGGGAUGUAAUGUUCAGAUGGGGACUCUAACAAUAGGUAUCAUAUAUUUGAAAACUGCUGUUUACUUAGAAGAAGAAGACACUCGGCUGCUCAGUUGGUAGCAUCCAGCUCUUGAUCUUGGGGUUAUGAGUUUAAGCCCAAUGUUGGGUGUAGAGAUUACUUAAAAAAAAAAAAAAAAAAAAAAAAAGGAAAGUUGCUAAGAGAGUAGAUCUUAAAAGUUCUCAUAAUAAAAAAAUAUUUGUAACUGUGUGGUGAUAGAUGUUAACUAAAUUGAUUAGGAUAAUUAUUUUGCUGUAUAUAAAAUCAUAUGUUGCAUACCUAAAGUUAAUACAAUGUUAUAUGCCAAGUAUAUCUCAAUAAAACUAGAAAAAAAAGCUUUCUAAGCAUGCAUUAUUGACAUAUCACUGUUUUGAUGUUUAGCAUUGCUAUAUAUAUUCUUGGGGUUUGAACUUGAAAAUUGAAUCAGACUAUAUGAGUAAAUUAAAGACUUUAUGUUAAUGAUCCUUUAGUAUUUGGAUUGUAUUACUUUUCGUCUCAUAUUGGGCAGAGAAGGCUUUGAGGAAGAAUGGUUAAUGGUCAACAGUCAGAAAAAGAAUUAGUAGUUUUAAAAUUUGCAUUAGUGAAAUAGUUAUUUUCUAAUACCUAAUUAUUUAAUAGUGCAUUUCACA